UACGUAGGGUGCAAGCGUUGUCCGGAAUUAUUGGGCGUAAAGAGCUCGUAGGCGGUUUGUCGCGUCUGCUGUGAAAUCCCGAGGCUCAACCUCGGGCCUGCAGUGGGUACGGGCAGACUAGAGUGCGGUAGGGGGAGAUUGGAAUUCCUGGUGUAGCGGUGGAAUGCGUAGAGAUCCGGAAGAACACCGGUGGCGAAGGCGGCCCGCUGGGCAGGAAGACACCGCAAGGUGUCGGCUGACGCUGAGGCGCGACAGCGUGGGGAGCGAACAGG
rnacentral:rRNA from 1 species